GUUUAUAACAAAGUAGGGGUUGAAAAAUAUAGGGGAUGAGCAUACCACAGAAUGUGGGGAGGAUCCAUCAGUACCAUCCUCUGAAAUAUCCUCUUCAGUACAUAAGAAUUACUGUUAUAUUUGUGGAAAGCCCCAAUCAAAAUUCACAAGACACUUAAAAAUUCAUAAAAACACAAAUAUGGAUGUUGCUAGGGCUAGGGAGUGGAUCGAGGCAGAUAAAACUCAAUUGUAAACUGAAGAAAAAUUACAAUCCAAAUGAUUAUGCGAAUUGCAUGUGUUGCCAUGCAAUGUUCCAACACAGAGAUCUGUGGAGACAUGUACUGAACCGUCCUUCUAAGUCAGUGGAUCAGGAACAACCAGGAAGAAAUAAGGUAUUGGGUUUAGUGACAAUGUCUGAUUCAGUUCUCUGUCAACAAAUGCCAUAGAGUGUUUGGAAACUCCUAACACCAAUGAAAGAUGCUGACAUCUCUGCUGCUGUGCGGAGUGAUUUCACUCCUCUUCACAAAGAUGUUGCUGUUGGCCUUGCAGCAUUUGAGCAGAAACUUUGCACACACUUCAGUCGAGUUGAAAUUAGGGGAAAAGGGGGCGUAAAGUAGCAGUUUUCCUAUCACCAGACAUGGUUGAUGCUUUAAGACUUCUAAUGAGUGUGGAGUUCCACAAGACAAUACAUUUCUUUUUGCAAGACCCAGAUGUUUGACUCCGUAUCGAGGUCAAGACAGUCUACGGAUUUACGCAGAUGAGUGAGGUGCCCAGAACCCUGAGCUCCUCCGGUCAACACAGCUGCGCAAGCAUGUUGCAACAUUGUCACAGGUCCUGAACUUAGAAAAACAUGAGUUGGAUCAAGUAGCAGACUUAUUGGGCCAUGAUAUACGUGUCCACAGGGAAUAUUACAGGCUUCCAUAGGCUACAACCCAGCUGGCAAAAUUUCUAAACUUCUACUUGCCAUAGAGAAAGGUUCUUUUAGAAGUCUUCAAGGCAAAUCACUUGAAGAAAUUGACAUUGAAGGGAAGUCUAUAAAUGUUAAAAUUAGAUUUUUGUGAUUUUACUGUAUGGUUUAUAGUAUAUUUUAUUGUAAAGGUUAUCAAGUGUAUAGGCUAAGAUACAUACAGACAAUAUGUCUUUACCAAAGUAAUAGUUUACAGAAUGGUUAUUAUUUGAUACUUUUAUUUGCUCCUAACAUUUGCUUUUUACCUUAAGACUCAAAUUGUUUGUUUUUUGUUAGAAAACCUAGACUUAACUGAUUCUAAUCCAAGUGAUAUGACAGUGCUAAGGAGACAGAUCAACUAACACAAAGUGAAAUUGCACUAAAGCGAGUUAGGCGACCUGUCGAGGAUCUUCCAAGCACCUUAGAUGAUGAUGACCCUGACUUAGAAAACACAUCUGCAGGUAAAAAAAGACAGAAGUUUUUAACUAAUCCAUUUUAAGGAUAUAUAAGUGCUAUUCAACUUUAAAAAUCAUUGGUAUACAGUGGUCAGCGUAAAUUAGCAGUGACGGCUGGUCAAUAGGGGGCGCUGGGUUGCCGCCCCCAAAUUUGGCCAGAGAAGAAAGCUACUUUAACAUGUUACCAAAAAGUUAAAUAUAUAGUGCAAAUUAAUACAAAAUAAAAUCGUUUGGUUGUACUAUUUCACUGUUAGUCAUGUUAUCAUUUAAUCAAAACGGCGUUUGUUGUGUGUGUGUCUUGGGCGCACUCCUAAUAAGUGUGUAUGUAGGUCAGUAAAAACAUGUGACCUGAGCUCUAAUUGGCUGGUUUUGGAUCCGCCCUGGGCUACAGGACUGUGCACCCCAAACCCUCCCACUUAUGUUGUAAGCGAAUCAAUAUUGUUUUUUAUGUCUUUGACCUUAUUUGAUUGGAUCGUUCUCAGAGUCUCAUAACCGCAUUGCAGAUUGCCAUGUAAAUGCUAGCUACAGUACUGAUCAGUGAAAGCAAGUGAAAUACGUUGAGAUGAAAGAAAAUAUGAUAUUAUGCUUACAAAAUCACCCUCUACAAGGCAUUCAGUUGAAGAAUAAAUAAAGGAUUAAGGAGCUUGGACCAGAUUGAGCAGCAGGAAAUGAUCAUGGUCGAGUUUACACUGUGUGCUUUUCCAGGACUCAUGGCAAAUGGAGUUGGCUAACGUUAGCAGGAUGCUACAGUAUGCAUGGAAUGGAAAAGCUGAUGACAUUUUGCAACAUCCAUCUUUUUCCAUUGUUCAAGAAUGACCUCUUUUAGAAAUUGGAUGCUGGAUGGAGAGUGAUGCAUUCUUGCUCAUUAUUAUCAUUAAAUACAAGAGCUCACACAAGGUAUGUUUUUUUUUAUUGAAGACAGUUUGAGCCUUAAGUCGUUAUCCAUCCUCUAUCUGUGUCUGUAUUUGUUCUUCGUGUGAUUAAGUGCUAAAUCCCCACUGGUACAAAGGUGCAUUAUCGAGAACGACAGUAAUUCAGCAUGAUUUGAGGCAGCAGAUUAGGCACGCAAUCUGUCAUAUGCAUGCAGCUUCUAUGGUUACAGUCAUUUUUCACUGCAAAUGAUGAGGUAAUCUGAUUAAAUGCACUGGAUUUACAACAUUUUGGCAUAUAGAAAUACAUACCCGAUUUUAAUAUUAUUUUAAGGUAGAAUUAAAUGAACUACUCAUCAUUUUAUUCGCGUACCCCCUAUUUUCACCUCCCCAGGGGUACACGUACCCUAGUUUGGGAACCACUGGGCAAGACUAAAGAUAAUUAUUAGACUGGUUGGAUAGAAAGAUGAGAUCUAGUCAUCAUUGUUUAUUCUAGGAAUCUGUUUUUCUCUUUUAUAGUCGUUCCAGAAAAUCCUGCUGAAAAGAAGAACAAAGAAAAAAAAGAAAAGAACAAAAACAGCAAUGGUCUACAAACUAAAAUCACAGCAGUAAUUACACAGGGAAAACUUGCCACUAAAAUUGAUUGCCAGCAGUGCAAGAAUGCUGAGCAUCCUGCAUUGGCUAAUCGCUCUUUACAAAAUAUCAGAGACUUUGUUAGGAAUAGUUGGAUGUACAAGUUUUCUAUUUAGUACAGUUACAGCCACAGUAAUAACUACAGGAACACAAACUAUGAUUUGAAAUAAGUCUUGCCCAUUUACAAUCAAAUUAUUUUAACGUAUUAUUAUUAUUUUUUUUAAAUGUCAUUAAUUUGCACUAGUCACAGUGACUUGUAGUACCUGGAUAAGGCUUGUGUUAGCAGUUUCAGCAGACCUGAAAAUGUGUGCAGUCGCAAACACAAAGUAAUAAGCACUACUUUUCCAUCGUUGAGGUGAAAGGCAAGAAUGUUUAUGUACUGUGCAACUUAUGCCGAGUAAGAAAGAGUCUGUCUAUGCUUGUAAUUCUGAUCUAAUAAUGCACCUCACAUCAUCACAUGCUGCUACAAAAUUAGUGGUUUCUCUUUAGUGUCCAAUUCAUUCAUUUACAAAUUUAAUAUUGGGGGCAUCCAAGUUAUGAAAUAUUUUAACUUUUUUCUAAGUAACGCAAUAGUUACUUUGCCUGGUAAUUAGUUACUUUUAUAAUCUUUCUAACUCAGUUAAUAUUUUUGAGAAGUAACUUGUUACUAUAAUUACUUUUUUUAAAGUAACGUUGCCAGCACUGCUUACCAGCUUGUUUUUAAAAAGCAUCAUGAUGGAUAUAUAGAUUUAUAAGCACUCUCUUUUCAGCUGCCUGGAAACACAUGUGCACGUUGUGUCAGAUGUUAUGGGUCUGCAUAUGACACGUGCAUCUUGAGGUAAUACACACUGGCAAAGUUUUGAGAGGAUGUGCAGCUCUCAUUUGUUAUCUAUUUGCUGGUAACUUUGUAACCAAUUUUAUAAUGGUACUUUGUAACCAUGGUAACACACAUGACAUCUAUUACUGCUGUAGAAGCGGGGACGCACUUUUCUACACUGAGCUUAGCAAUGCCUAGUCAUAGUUUUAGAUGGGUGAAAUAGUUAAAUCCAGCCUUGUGAUUCAUAUUUACACUUAAGUUCACCUUAGUGCUUCCACACAACUUUUUUAUUCCCAGCUGGUUUAUUUAUUUGACUGUUAAAGGUAUAGCGGAAGAUUUUCGUUUUCCGGGUGGAUCACCUAUAUUAUUGGUCAUCCCAGAUGUCAAUCAUUCUGAUUAUAUGUUGAUGUGUAACUGUCGUACGUGCUCGCCUCUAGGUUCGCUUUCUGCACAUGCGCGCUUUCACGUGUAUGUGUGUUGUGCUACGGUUUCAACCAUUCAUUGAAGGUUGCGUACUCACUGUGUUUUUUUUUUCAAAAUGUCUGAGGGUCGCAAGAGAAAAAGUGUCUACGAAUUGUAUGACAAGAAGAGAAAGGACUAUGACGAAAGAAACAAGACCAGAGUGUUUAUGGGAGACUAUUUCACUUGCUGGCGUGAGCUAAUAGGACAGGUUGGGCUUCCCACGCGAAGUUUCUACUGGAAAGGUACAUUUUGUCAUGCUAUUUGGAGAAAUCAAUUUAAAAUCACUGCUAGUAAAAGUUGAUGUAAGCUAUGAUUAGCGAUGCUAGCCCUGGCACAAGUCACGAACCGCACAUACAUGGUAAACAUGCCGACAGCAACUUGUAAACAGAGCGAAGAGAAGAACUGAGCUCCUGUAUGCUCUCUCUCUGUCUCGUGCACGCGUUUAACAGGCGUUCCCUCUCGGGAGGAGGGAGAGUGUGGCGCGUGCAUUUUUAAAAAAAUGUGGAGGGGCGGUUCAUUUAAAUAAUUCGGGAAAAUCUUCCACUAUACCUUUAAGAGAUAUAUUAUUAAUUAUAUAUUAUUCAUGGUUGGUAGACUUAAUGACACAGAAACCGGAAGAACAUAAUGAGUUGUACUCAGUGCUGAGUGGACAAUUCCUCUGAUCAAUGGUAAUCCAAUAUCCUAUGCCUUGUGUCAAUCACAAGUGUUUCGUUUUAUUGCUGUGGUUGUAUAAACUCAUUAUUAUUGAAGAGAUGAGGUCAUCUGCUGGAUUUGUGUGUAACAGUCACAGAAAAGGAACACACAUUACGUUUCCAUCUAGGGGUGGGUAUGACCAAAAAUCAUUUCACAGAAUGAGUCAUUUUAUUUGUUAUAUUGUUUUUAGAAUAUACAAAUGUCCCACUAACUAAGGCUAUAUCCACACGAAGCCGCUGCAUUCCCUAUCCGAUCAUUUUUUUUCCUUGCUCUAAAAAAAUAAUCCAUAAACACGAAACCACUGAAACCGACUGAAAGCGGUGUAGUAUAUAUGCUGGACCAGUAUGGGGCGCUGUAAUUCUGCCACAAAUAUACACUAUACACGGAGAAGAAGACUGUGAGCAUGCGCAUAACCAACGUAUGGUGUUGUCCAUUAUCGCUCUUUGGUCACCACAAUUGCAUAGAAGCAAUAGAUUUUGCUGUAAUAAAGCUAGUAGGCUUUAGUAGCUUCUGUAGCACAAACACAAUCACAUAGUCCGCCGUUAUUGUUGUUGCUGUUACGUGUAACGCUUCUGACACGUGAUGUGAUGACGUUUUCGCUUUACAAAAUAUACGGAUUGGCUGUUCAGACGAAACCGCAAGGGUGUCGGUUUCAGAUUUAUCCACUUUAGGACCCGGUUUCAAAAAAUAGCGGAUUCAGUCUCCCAAAACGCCGGAUCCGUGUGGAUGAAACGCCAAAACGAUAACAAAUUUAUACGUAUGCAGUGAUGCACGUCUCCGU